rnacentral:rRNA from 1 species
CGGGGCUAAUACCGGAUAAUGUAUCGGACCUCAUGGUCUGAUACUGAAAGGCNGCUUCGGCUGUCACUUAAGGAUGGGCCCGCGGCGCAUUAGCUAGUUGGUGAGGUAACGGCUCACCAAGGCAACGAUGCGUAGCCGACCUGAGAGGGUGAUCGGCCACACUGGGACUGAGACACGGCCCAGACUCCUACGGGAGGCAGCAGUAGGGAAUCUUCCGCAAUGGACGAAAGUCUGACGGAGCAACGCCGCGUGAGUGAAGAAGGUUUUCGGAUCGUAAAGCUCUGUUGUCAGGGAAGAACAAGUACCAUAGUAACUGAUGGUACCUUGACGGUACCUGACCAGAAAGCCACGGCUAACUACGUGCCAGCAGCCGCGGUAAUACGUAGGUGGCAAGCGUUGUCCGGAAUUAUUGGGCGUAAAGCGCGCGCAGGUGGUUCCAAAAGUCUGAUGUGAAAGCCCCCGGCUCAACCGGGGAGGGUCAUUGGAAACUGGGGAACUUGAGUGCAGGAGAGGAAAGUGGAAUUCCACGUGUAGCGGUGAAAUGCGUAGAUAUGUGGAGGAACACCAGUGGCGAAGGCGACUUUCUGGCCUGUAACUGACACUGAGAGCGCGAAAGCGUGGGGAGCAAACAG